rnacentral:lncRNA from 1 species
GUUUAUGAGAUCUCAACCCUCCCCCUAUACCUCUAGCCAAUGUAGAAAAGUAAAUGCAUAACAAUACGCACAUUAAAAUUCAAUUCAAGAGAAGUCCGAGUCUGAUGUCAGAAGAUGUAACCAAAGAAAAUAAACAAAAUGACAAUAAUACAUAAAUAACAACAGACUACUAGCAGUUAACUGACAUGCCAGCUCCAGACUUCAAUUAAACUGAUUGAAAGAUUAUGAUUUCAUCAUA